GAAAAACUGGGAAAAGGAAGCGAAAAUGGUAAAGUGAUGCCAUAAUGCUUUACUGGCUCUAAUGAAAGGAAAACUUAGGAAAGCAUUCAUUUAUUCUGUUUCAGCCAAAGGAAAAAAAAAAAGGGGGGGCAAUGAAAAAGAGAAGGAAAAAAAAAGUACAGAAUGUAGAACAUGUGAAGAAAAAAGCCAGCAAAGGAAGAGGAAAUGAAAAGAGAGGAGAAACAAGUGCUGGAAGUAGAGGAGAGGAUGGUGGGGGAGGAGGCAGCACAAAGAGAUCUGAUGAACAGGGCUUUUAGUCCACUCUAAAAUGGAUCUUAGACUAUCUCAAGCUGUGCACUGCAGCGAGGAGUUUGGAACUGAGAGAAAGAGCGAUGAAUGUGUAUCAGAAGAGAAAAUCAGCCGCUGCUUGGUACCUUGUCCUUGUUCUCCCCUCUCGUUUGCUGAUGGCUGAUAACACCUUAUCUCCACCAGGGAAGCAACUGGGAAGUUUGCUCCUUCCUCACAAGACUGAGGGUAUAAUUAGAACCACGCACCUGCUCAGUCCUCCAGUGACUCAGUUAGUCUACAUCCAUGUCAAAAUCCAUGCUGUGAGGGUAAUUUGAUCAUCUCACUUACUUUUUUCAUAUGCUUUAUAUGAAUAAACCACCAGAACAA